rnacentral:rRNA from 1 species
GACGAACGCUGGCGGCGUGCCUAAUACAUGCAAGUAGAACGCUGAAGGAGGAGCUUGCUUCUCUGGAUGAGUUGCGAACGGGUGAGUAACGCGUAGGUAACCUGCCUGGUAGCGGGGGAUAACUAUUGGAAACGAUAGCUAAUACCGCAUAAGAGUAGAUGUCGCAUGACAUUUGCUUAAAAGGUGCAAUUGCAUCACUACCAGAUGGACCUGCGUUGUAUUAGCUAGUUGGUGAGGUAACGGCUCACCAAGGCAACGAUACAUAGCCGACCUGAGAGGGUGAUCGGCCACACUGGGACUGAGACACGGCCCAGACUCCUACGGGAGGCAGCAGUAGGGAAUCUUCGGCAAUGGACGGAAGUCUGACCGAGCAACGCCGCGGGAGUGAAGAAGGGUUUCGGAUCGUAAAGCUCUGUUGUAAGAGAAGAACGAGUGUGAGAGUGGAAAGUUCACACUGUGACGGUAUCUUACCAGAAAGAGACGGCUAACUACGUG